rnacentral:rRNA from 1 species
GACGAACGCUGGCGGCGUGCUUAACACAUGCAAGUCGAACGGUAAGGCCCUUCGGGGUACACGAGUGGCGAACGGGUGAGUAACACGUGGGUGAUCUGCCCUGCACUUCGGGAUGAGCCUGGGAAACUGGGGCUAAUACCGGAUAGGACCACUGCCUGCAUGAGGGGUGGUGGAAAGCUUUUGCGGUGUGGGAUGGGCCCGCAGCCUAUCAGCUUGUUGGUGGGGUGAUGGCCUACCAAGGCGACGACGGGUAGCCGGCCUGAGAGGGUGACCGGCCACACUGGGACUGAGAUACGGCCCAGACUCCUACGGGAGGCAGCAGUGGGGAAUAUUGCACAAUGGGCGCAAGCCUGAUGCAGCGACGCCGCGUGAGGGAUGACGGCCUUCGGGUUGUAAACCUCUUUCAGCACCGACGAAGCGCAAGUGACGGUAGGUGCAGAAGAAGGACCGGCCAACUACGUGCCAGCCGCCGCGGUAA